GAGAGCGAGAGUGGCGGCGGGGACGGGCUCGACCCAGCCGGGGUCUGCAGCCGCCCAGGCUGAGGCGCUCCUCGUGGGGGCGUUUGCAGUCGGGCGUGUUGUUUCAGGGAUUCCACGGAUGCUGCCACGCGCCCCCCGGUGGCGCUGGGCUCUCACUGCGGCAGACGCUGUGCUCGCCUGCACAACCAGGAGGGGCCAGGUCAGUGGGCGGCACAACAGGAAGGAGAGAUGGUGCUGGGGGCCUGCGCCUGGCCAGCAGGCGGUGGCCAGGAGGCAUGAGGGAAACUCCAAUGGAAUUAAGCGUCAUAGAUGGGGAAAAACGGUAUAUAAGGAAACAAAACUUCUCUUCGGGGCUCUCAAGACUGACAGGAGUCACUCACUGAAGCGCCGGCAUCGUCAAGAGCCGCUUUUGCUCCUGUCUUCCUGUUAAAGAGUUACCUGUGCUGGGGCCCUGUUUCCUGCUUCACGUCCACCUCAAUCUGGGCAGCACCCCAGGCCAAGCGGAGGAGAAACAGAAAUAAAAGUAACAAAGACUCAGGAAAUCUCUGAAGUGCCAGGCCAAAGCACCUGUGCUAGAUCCUGUAGCCCAGCCUUCACUUUCCCCCACUCAAAGGAGUUGCAGGUUGUCAGAGCUCUCUGGCAGUCAUUUCUGGCAAUCGCCCAGAGAUCCAUUGACAGGCCUCGGGGUAGGGUGCAUGUCUUACAAAGUCUGAAAACCUGGUUUAUCUUGGCUCUUCCUAACCCUCCGCAGCCCGGUACAUCUUUCCAGUUCUGUCACACUCCUUUCUGCUGGCAUGGACCCAAGAACUUUCCACCGUUAACUGUAAUAAAUGUAGCCACUUUUUCUUUGA